GAGAAUUAAUCAAGGAUUCUAAUAUUUUAGCUAGGCAAGAAAGUUUAUAAAUUGGGCGAUAAUUAUUUAGGUCACAAGGAUCACCACCUUUGUGAAGGGGUAGUACAUGGGCUGCCUUCCAAACCUUGGGGAUAGUACCAGAUGUAAUCGUCAGAUUAAAAAUAUUGGUUAAUGAUUCAGCAAUCAGGGUGGCCGAGAACUGCAGCAAAAAUGGAUAAAGCAUAUCAGCCCCAGUGGAUUAUUUUUUACAUCAAGGCAUCUAGCCCAUCACAGAUCUGACCCAUCACACCACUUUUCAAGGGGGGCACUAAGAUCCAGAUCUCAUUCUGUGCUCAGUGGUCCUUGAUGAGGAUCUACCCCAUGACACCACUCUUAUUAAUCAUUAAUAAAAUAAAACAAUGGGCCUUUAUAUA